UAAAAAGUAAUUAAUGGGACCUUUAGUCAUUACUUACAUAUAUAUGUUGUUGUGAAAUGAAAAAUCAAGUUCAUAAAUACUGUUAGACUUCCUAAUUACAAUUUUUAUUUUAUUGAGUUCGGGUGACACAUAAAUUAUGCCUCUUUACUCAAUAUAUAAUCGUGAUUUGUCUGAAUUUAAAAUCUUCUUUUAAUCAAAAAACAAUAUAAUUUUAAGUUCUGUCGAUGUAAAAUACAACUUGAUGACGUGUAAACAGCUCACAGUUCCCUUCUUCUACUCAAGCGGACAUAUUCAACAGCACGUGUUCAAGGUUUAUCAAGAGCUGUGUUCGUCGCGAACGGCACGACUUUCUGGUGUUAUACACUGUCCUGGCGUUGCAGAUCUAGGGGUUCCAGUUAAGACGUGGUCAGCCUUCUAAAGAAAGUGGGAAUCUCACCGAAAUAUUCAAUUACUUUGCUGUGUUUCUUGCCAGGACUAAGGCUCAAACCAUCAUCUUCUCCUGGUAUCGAAUACCAAGGGACCUUCUGAAGUAAGCUUUAACAAGAUGAGGAGGAGCUCAACACAGACCUUGCAAUGCAAAUCAUGAAGAUUGCUAUCAUUGGUGAUGGGCCUGCAACCAUCAUCGUUGAGGGAUCCAAGAUCCUGGAGAGGAUUGAUGUUGCCAGAUCCUGUGCUUUGAUGAUGGGAGUAAUCUACGCUCUGAACCUUACCUAUCCCAAGCAGCUGAAAUUUACCUUUGAGGUAUUUCAAAAGCUAUGCCUUGAGCUUGAUGGACAAAAAGCCAGCCCUAAAGUAAUGAAUCUUAAGUUUGGUAUUUUCUAGAGCAGACUUGAUAGACCAUUCGUGAGUGAGUUUCACAAAAACCUUAUUCCUGCAUUUCUGGCACUACUUCAUUGUGUUUUACUAAAUUUUAAAGCGCUGUUCUUAAGUCUUCUGAGUUAAUGUUUUGCCGUGUCUUAAAUGCUGUUAUUUGCACAUUUUUAAGGAAUGCGUUUAAUUUCUUCCAUGACCUGUGUUCUGAGGGUACUGGUGUGUUUUAAAGUUUGUGUAAUGCCCUCUUUAGCUGGCCUUAAUCUUGAGGGUGAAAAGUCAAAUAUAGAAGAGAAUCAAGAAUACUUUGUAAGAGUGCUGACAAAGUUGAAUGAAAGAAGCUUUGCUCAUUUUAUGUUUAAAUUAGUGCAUUUAAUGUAUAGCAGCCUGUCAUCUUUUGUUUUGAUUCACUGUCACAUGU